rnacentral:rRNA from 1 species
ACUCCUACGGGAGGCAGCAGUGGGGAAUAUUGCACAAUGGGCGCAAGCCUGAUCUAGCCAUGCCGCGUGAGUGAUGAAGGCCUUAGGGUCGUAAAGCUCUUUCGCCAGGGAUGAUAAUGACAGUACCUGGUAAAGAAACCCGGCUAACUCCGUGCCAGCAGCCGCGGUAAUACGGAGGGGGUUAGCGUUGUUCGGAAUUACUGGGCGUAAAGCGCGCGUAGGCGGAUUAGUCAGUUAGAGGUGAAAUCCCAGGGGCUCAACCCUGGAACUGCCUUUAAUACUGCUAGUCUUGAGUUCGAGAGAGGUGAGUGGAAUUCCGAGUGUAGAGGUGAAAUUCGUAGAUAUUCGGAGGAACACCAGUGGCGAAGGCGGCUCACUGGCUCGAUACUGACGCUGAGGUGCGAAAGUGUGGGGGAGCAAACAGGAUUAGAUACCCUGGUAGCGACUGA